rnacentral:tRNA from 1 species
GGGCCGGUCGUCUAGCCUGGUAGGAUGCCCGGCUUGCACCCGGGAGGUCGGGGGUUCAAAUCCCCCCCGGUCCACCA